CAGCACAGAGAAGGACCUGAAUUCCUUCUGUGAUGGUAUCAUCUGGGUUCCCUCGGCAGGCGCCUGCCUCCUGCUCCUCAUUGCCCUGGCCAUCACCAUCCUGCAGUGCCCAAAAACCAGAAGACGAAGGUGGAGGCGUAAAAGGCCUGUGCAGGGGAAGCCCCACACCAAACCCGGCAUGAUAAACUGACACCUUGCAGCAUCCACACCUUUGGGCUUCUGGAUCGUCCCCCGGGUGCUGUCAGCACACAAACCCAUCUCCUACGUUCUCUACACUGUGACUGCACCUCAUGCACUCUGCCCUGGCAAACUGGAAAAGACAAGAUGGAGCACAGACACCCAGACAACCAGCAGCACUGUUUCUGGGAACUGCACCCUAAAGCACAGCUCCUUCCAAAACUGGAGCUUUUCAAAUCGAUUCCCAAGGCCAAACGCCCUCUCUGUUCCCAGUGACAGGGUUCAGGCAAAGGAACCAGGUCAAUCCUGAUGCUGACAGGCAUCAGUGACAAGCAGAUGAGGAAUAAGGAAUAAAUCUCUACUCAAGGGCGUGUGCUACUUCUUUCUAAAAUGCAGCCAGGCUUUGAAUUCACUACAAAGUGACUUGGAAAUAAAUGCUCUCACUUAACACAUCCUCUGUCUGUGGUUGCCAUCUCUCUCCUAGGAUUUUUACUGUUUCAUCUAAUCUAUUA